GUCAGACAUUGCUGUUCCCAGAGAAGAAUGUGCCUGAAACAGAAGCGCUGGUCACUUGGGAAGAACUGCCUUUUGUAGUAGCUGACAGCACUGGAAAUGGAACCCCAAAGCAUCUGGUCUGUAUUGUAGCCUGUUUAGUCUGUCCCAGCUGAAAAAUGAACAGAGAAGAGCUCCAGACAGCAGAAGAGAUGGCUUCUGAUGGGAUAGGAGGGAAUGACACAGGCUUGAAUUACAAGUAUACUACAGUCUCACAUAUUGGCAAAGAUAAAAAAACGUCCUGCCACAACAAAGUACUGAAAUGUGUUAAAAAAUUAAUACAUUUGUGAACAGAAUCCUCUUCUACUCCUCAUCACACUCUAAUCUCCAUACCAACAGCUCUGCCUACAACCCUACCCAGAGACAGAAUACCUUUGUGGUGCCAUACAAGUACACAGCCAAACCUGGUAGCAAUGGAACCAGCCCCCAAAGCGAACCAAAUAUUCUCACAAAAUACAGAAAGAGCAAAGAUAGACUCUGACAGCUUUGGAGUCCACUUGAGAAAGUGAAGAGGACAAAAACCAGAGGCAAUGUUCACCUCAAAGUGGGGGGAAAAAAGUGCAUGGUACCCUUGAAGGCCAGACUAUGAAAGCUCCUGGGAGAUGUAACAGUCAUUAUCAAACAGGAAUGUUAAGCACAGUGUGUUGGCCCUCUCUAGACAGCUUUUGCCCAGCAUGGGCAGGCAGAAAUUGUACUUUUUUUGGCAGCCCCUUGCUUCUAAAGGUUCCUAGGGCUGUGAAAGAAUGGGACACCCAGGCAUGCCUUAGCUGGGAGGGUGUUGCUCCACCAGCCUCCCCAGGCAGUUUUCCCCCCAGAUACAUGUGAAGCCUUGGCAAUCACCAAGAGACCUGUGAACUCACGAGCCUCUGUGCAGCAGCCUCCCAGCUCUGCUGGGCUGCAUAUAAGGUUCAACUGGACUUCUGUAUCCCACACCCCACCCUGCUCAUAGCUCUUGGCCCCACAUCAGGGCUUAUGUAGACAGCCACCAUGAUGAUCAUUUGAUUUCUCUUGUUAUCAAGUUGGCAAUUAACAAAAGAGCUGAUGAUUGCUAUAUUGACUGACUGUGGGAUCUCCUUUUCUAUCUGCACUAUCUCAGCUGGGGAAGGGAAGGCAGAAGGGUGGGUUAGUGGUAUUUAUUUAUCUCUACGCCAUGUUUUGUGUUUGUGUUGCCAGGGGAAGCAAAGGGUGAUAAUGGCCUGGCAGCCCUUGGACAUCCAAUUUCCCUUAUCAGGCCACUGAAUAGAAAAGAGGCCCCAGGCCACAUUA